rnacentral:rRNA from 1 species
GUCUUGUCUCAAGAUUAAGCCAUGCAUGUCUAUGCACAAGCCGAUUAAUGGUGAAGCCGCGAAUGGCUCAUUACAACAGCUGUAGUUUCCUGGAUGUUCUCAUACUUGGAUAACUUUGUCAACCCAGAGCUAAUACAUGCACAAAAGCUCCAACUUAUGGAGGAGCGCAAUUAUUUGAUCAAGACCAAUCAGGCUUUGCCUGUCUUUGGUGACUCUGAGUAAACUUGUUGAUCGCACAGUCCUGUACUGGCGACAAAUCCUUCAAGUGUCUGCCUUAUCAACUUUUGAUGGUAGUUUAUGUGCCUACCAUGGUUAUAACGGGUAACGGAGAAUAAGGGUUCGACUCCGGAGAGGGAGCCUGAGAAAUGGCUACCACAUCCAAGGAAGG